rnacentral:rRNA from 1 species
UGCAGUCGAGGGGCAUCACAUGAAGUAGCAAUACGGAUGGUGGCGACCGGCGCACGGGUGAGUAACGCGUAUGCAAUCUACCUACAACAAGGGGAUAACCCGUUGAAAGACGGACUAAUACCCUAUAAUACAGGGGUUCCGCAUGGGACUAUUUGUUAAAGAUUCAUCGGUUGUAGAUGAGCAUGCGUUCCAUUAGCUGGUUGGUGGGGUAACGGCCCACCAAGGCAACGAUGGAUAGGGGAACUGAGAGGUUUAUCCCCCACACUGGUACUGAGACACGGACCAGACUCCUACGGGAGGCAGCAGUGAGGAAUAUUGGUCAAUGGACGCAAGUCUGAACCAGCCACGUCGCGUGAAGGAAGACGGCCCUACGGGUUGUAAACUUCUUUUGUAAGGGAAUAAAGUGAGUCACGGGUGACUUUUUGCAUGUACCUUACGAAUAAGGAUCGGCUAACUCCGUGCCAGCAGCCGCGGUAAUACGGAGGAUCCGAGCGUUAUCCGGAUUUAUUGGGUUUAAAGGGUGCGCAGGCGGGAGAUUAAGUCGGCGGUGAAAUUUUGCAGCUCAACUGUAAAAGUGCCAUCGAUACUGGUUUUCUUGAGUGUAGAUGAAGUAGGCGGAAUUUGUGGUGUAGCGGUGAAAUGCAUAGAUAUCACGAGGAACUCCGAUUG